GUAUCCAGAUGCAUAUCCACGUGAGCCGAGAGGUGGAUGAAGCUGGAUAAAGUACUGACUACAAUGGGCACUGGAAUAACUGGAGAAAUACAGCACAAAGGAUGAGGCCCUGCUUCGUCAACAGUUCCAGCAACGCUAAAAGAGGCCAGUCCUGGGACCACGAGCAGCCGGUCUCACUCCAGAGCUGUCACAGGAUGAACAACUGUGAGGCCCCAAACAUCACAUAAUACCGCGCAGGCGUGUUCAAGAAUUGCUACAUGUGAAAAAUAUAAAACCAAUGUUCUAAUGCUGCAUCUGUCCUGAAGAGGAAAGCACAAGACCUAAAACCUCAACGUUUUAAUGCAGCAUUUUUUUUUGUCGUAAUAGCAGCGUUUAUUUGUGUAUUGAUCCAACUGGUAUACUGACAGUUUGUAGCCAAAUAGAGAAUCAGAUGAAUGUAAAUUUCCAAAUCGCGUUUCAAAAAUUGUAUGAUAUCUUUUACAUUCCUAUAAAUUAACCCAGUUUCAAAUUUGAUAAAAAAUAACCCACACACAUCGGUAUUGAGAAGAAUCAUAACACAGUUUAUUAAUGUACGUAAUACUCAAAUGGAUUUGAGAUCUCAGGCCAAACAUUUGAAUAUUAAAUAACUUUUUUCUUUUGUGCCGAUUAAUUUAGAAUUCACUAAACUAAAGAUGAGAUUAUUUAUUCAAAACUUACUGAGUAUUCUCGAGCAAAGUUCCUGAGAAAAAAUUUGUACCCAAAAGCAACUUGAUUUGUGAAAGGCUGUAAUAGGAAUGGAAUGUGAUUUUAUUUUAAAUAUAAUUAACAACCACUUCAGUGAACAC